rnacentral:tRNA from 1 species
CGGGAUGUAGCGCAGCGGGAGCGCGCCUGGAUGGGGUCCAGGAGGUCGGUGGUUCAAACCCACCCAUCCCGA